rnacentral:lncRNA from 13 species
CAAAUAAACAUUUAUGUUGCCAUUAAAUUAACCAAAACUGGCCGGUUUGUAGGCAGUCUGGAACGCACCCCGGUUCAAGGUUUCCUGGUGCCAUCUUAACCCCUGAGUGUUGGAGUACAGGCAGGCAAAGUUCACAGCAGAGGAAAAGCAAAAAUAACCUGUGUUGCAAUAAAACUUAUUUUCAGACUAUCAUAUUUUGUCUAUUUUGCUGUUUUCAGAGCUUAGGUAUUGGUGGUGUCAAUAUAUUGAUUAAAUAAUGGAAUCUUUGCAAUUUCAGCCUAAGGGUUGUAUUUAUUCGUGCACACUGUAGCAAAGGUUUUGCAGCGAAAAACAAGUUAUUUUUAGUUCAGGUAGUCAGUUCCUUCAUUUUGGCCCAUUUUUUUUUUCAUUUUAGUGUUUAGUGAAUACAAACCAGAUGAAUACAUUGGGAGGGUUCAUCCUCUGUUAGCUUUUUGAAAUGGCACACCCCUUAUAUUGUAGGUGUUGUCAAUAUUCUGCAUGCAAGAAAUGUCAUGAUGGAAAUNUUUGGUAUGCAAACGAGUGAUGCACGUAUUGGACCAAUACUGUCUGUAUCCAAGGCUCAGCCAAUCGUUCACAUAACAAUGCAGCACGGCACUGACGAGACAACAAUUUUGCUAGUUAAAGCAUCAGUGUGCACUCUGGAAAGCGUGUCCCUUGAACGAUAACGAAGAGGUAGUAGGUGAGAAGCCUGACCACGGAGACUGUGGUGAUGAAGCGUACUUUAUGAGCUGUAACUGGAAAAACAGCUGGCAUUUGGAAAGUUUGAGAGAGAUGACCAUCGAUCCUUCUAUGGGGAAUGGCUCUGAUUGUCCACCAGAGGUCACAUGGUCCUUAGUUGUCCUGGCUUUGGAGUGGUUUCUUCAGAACAGAUCUUCAGAUGUACCCAUGAUUGUCUGAGAUGGGAUCUUCUCCUUCCUUUCUCGGGUAGAUAGUCAAAGUUCUAAUCCCUUUACAUGCACAGCUGCAGACUGUCAAUGUUUUGGUCUAGUGAGUUCAUCUUCAACUCGUUGAGUUUGAGUUUCCAACCAUUUUGUAACAUUUAGCUCAUGCUUCACGUUUGCGUGUUAAUUUUUAACAAGUUAUUUUUAGCACUCUGGUCGAAAAGGGUGGUUCCAUCACACUGACACAUUCUUCUGACCUAAUUCGGGGCGUGGCUUUAAUGUGCAAGGGACACAAACUAUGAUCUCUUAACAGCUGAAGGGGGUUUCCUUCCUAACUUACAGCAUUGGUUCAUACAGUUUUUAAUAACAUCACAAAAUGAAAAGCAAUACGACAUUAUUAUUCAUUAGAUCCCCAAUGACCAUUCCAAACAAUCGGAUGUUAGAAAUAAUGUUCCAAUGUUCACUUUUUGGACAAAAAGUUUUGGCAGCAAAAGUCUGCUGGAGACAAAGCACUUUUCUUUCCCAAUACUGAGGAGCAAAGGGAAAGAUUCCCCUCCUGCCUAAUUUACGACUGAGUGUUAAGGUGUCAAAACCAGGUCUGGUUGGUCAGCUAUUUACCAAGGUAAUUGAUUUACCAAAGCCUUUGAUCCUCACCCAGGAGAGGCAUGACAAGUGAAACAUUAAAAGUUAUCCUUUUUAAAUAAAACUAUAUUCACGUCACAAUAAUUUAUUAAAACAAAGUUUUGCAAUAGUCUACAAUAGCAAUCUGUAGGGUAGCACCAUGGUGUAGCUGGCGGACAGCUAGCUUCUGUCUUCCUCUGGGUACAUUGACUUCAAUACAAAACCUAGGAUGCUCUUGGUUCUCACCCCCUUCCACAGACUUACACAGUAAGUAUGACAACUUCUGGAGGACGUCCUCUAACCUAUCAGAGCUCUUGCAGUAUGAACUGACAUGUUGGGGACCCAAUCAAAACAUCAGAGAAUGAAACUAGUACACAUGGAAUAAACGGGUGUACAGUCAACACAAUAGAAAAAAAGAAAGUCUAUAUACAGUGUGUGCAAAUGGCAUGAGGAGGUAAGGAAAUAAAUAGGCCAUAGUAGCGAAGUAAUUACAAUUUAGAAAAUUAACACGAAUGAUAGAUGUGCAAGUGAUGAUGUGCAAGUAGAAAUACUGGUGUGCAAACGAGCAGAAAAGUCAAAAACAAUAUGGUGAUAUGAGAGGUAGAUUGGAUGGGCUAUUUACCGAUGGGCUAUGUCAGCUGCAGUGAUCGGUUAGCUGCUCAGAUAGCUGAUGUUUAAAGUUAGUGAGGGAAAUAUAAGUCUCAACUUCAGCAAUUUUUGCAAUUCGUUCCAGUCAUUGGCAGCAGAGAACUGGAAGGAAAGGCGGUCAAAUGAGGUGUUGGCUUUAAGUAGAGGUGCGAGCGAGAGAUAGAUAGAGAUAUAUAUAUAUAUAUACACACACACACACAGUGCCUUGCGAAAGUAUUCGGCCCCCUUGAACUUUGCGACCUUUUGCCACAUUUCAGGCUUCAAACAUAAAGAUAUAAAACUGUAUUUUUUUGUGAAGAAUCAACAAGUGGGACACAAUCAUGAAGUGGAACGACAUUUAUUGGAUAUUUCAAACGUUUUUAACAAAUCAAAAACUGAAAAAUUGGGUGUGCAAAAUUAUUCAGCCCCUUUACUUUCAGUGCAGCAAACUCUCUCCAGAAGUUCAGUGAGGAUCUCUGAAUGAUCCAAUGUUGACCUAAAUGAUUAAUGAUGAUAAAUACAAUGCACCUGUGUGUAAUCAAGUCUCCGUAUAAAUGCACCUGCACUGUGAUAGUCUCAGAUGUCCGUUAAAAGCGCAGAGAGCAUCAUGAAGAACAAGGAACACACCAGGCAGGUCCGAGAUACUGUUGUGAAGAAGUUUAAAGCCGGAUUUGGAUACAAAAAGAUUUCCCAAGCUUUAAACAUCCCAAGGAGCACUGUGCAAGCGAUAUAUUGAAAUGGAAGGAGUAUCAGACCACUGCAAAUCUACCAAGACCUGGCCGUCCCUCUAAACUUUCAGCUCAUACAAGGAGAAGACUGAUCAGAGAUGCAGCCAAGAGGCCCAUGAUCACUCUGGAUGAACUGCAGAGAUCUACAGCUGAGGUGGGAGACUCUGUCCAUAGGACAACAAUCAGUCGUAUAUUGCACAAAUCUGGCCUUUAUGGAAGAGUGGCAAGAUAGCCAUUUCUUAAAGAUAUCCAUAAAAAGUGUCGUUUAAAGUUUGCCACAAGCC